rnacentral:lncRNA from 1 species
UCGGGGUUGGUGGUCCUGGGUUCUAUAAGAAAGCAGGCUGAGCAAGCCAUGGGGAGCAAGACAGUAAGCAGCUCCCCUCCAUGGCCUCUGCAUCAGCUCCUGCCUCCAAGUUCCUGUACUGAGUUCCUGUCCUGACUUCCUUCAGUGAUGGACUAUGAUGUGUCUCAAGAUGGCUGCUGCUCCUCCAGGCAUGGCAUCAGCAUUCAAAAGGAAGAAAGAAGAACCAAACCAGCAAGAAGGCUUGAGUGCAUCCAUUACUUUUUAUAACUUUUCCUGGAUGAGUCACACAGUGAGUGAUUCAUCUGUUGGCUUCAUCUAUUGGCUACAACAUGUCACAUGACUUCUAGCCACAAACGCAUCUGGUAAGGGAGAUUUGUAGUUAAACCAACUCAGCUUGCCAACUUCCCUUUAAAAAAAAAAAAAGAAGAAGAAGAAGAAGAAGAAAGAAAAAGCCAUUAGCAUUCCCAUCGGAAAUCUGAGCAUAAAUGAGAGAUUUCAAAUGAAAACAGUGAGGAACGUGCGAAGGAGCCUGAC